rnacentral:rRNA from 1 species
CAGUCGCCGCGGUAAUACGGAGGGAGCUAGCGUUGUUCGGAAUUACUGGGCGUAAAGCGCACGUAGGCGGCUUUGUAAGUUAGAGGUGAAAGCCUGGAGCUCAACUCCAGAACUGCCUUUAAGACUGCAUCGCUUGAAUCCAGGAGAGGUGAGUGGAAUUCCGAGUGUAGAGGUGAAAUUCGUAGAUAUUCGGAAGAACACCAGUGGCGAAGGCGGCUCACUGGUCCAUUACUGACGCUGAGGUGCGAAAGCGUGGGGAGCAAACAGGAUUAGAUACCCCAGUAGUCCCUGUCUCUUAUAC